rnacentral:rRNA from 1 species
AUUGAACGCUGGCGGCAUGCCUUACACAUGCAAGUCGAACGGUAACAGGUCUUCGGAUGCUGACGAGUGGCGAACGGGUGAGUAAUACAUCGGAACGUGCCCGAUCGUGGGGGAUAACGGAGCGAAAGCUUUGCUAAUACCGCAUACGAUCUACGGAUGAAAGCAGGGGACCGCAAGGCCUUGCGCGGACGGAGCGGUCGAUGGCAGAUUAGGUAGUUGGUGGGAUAAAAGCUUACCAAGCCGACGAUCUGUAGCUGGUCUGAGAGGACGACCAGCCACACUGGGACUGAGACACGGCCCAGACUCCUACGGGAGUCAGCAGUGGGGAAUUUUGGACAAUGGGCGAAAGCCUGAUCCAGCCAUGCCGCGUGCUGGAUGAAGGCCUUCGGGUUGUAAACUGCUUUUGUACGGAACGAAAAGCCUCUUUCUAAUAAAGAGAGGUCAUGACGGUACCGUAAGAAUAAGCACCGGCUAACUACGUGCCAGCAGCCGCGGUAAGAC